rnacentral:rRNA from 1 species
AACGAACGCUGGCGGCAUGCCUAACACAUGCAAGUCGAACGAAACCUUCGGGUCUAGUGGCGCACGGGUGCGUAACGCGUCGGAACCUGCCCUUAGGUUCGGCAUAACUCCCCGACAGGGGUGCUAAUACCGGAUAAUGUCUUCGGACCAAAGAUUUAUCGCCUUUGGAUGGGCCCGCGUUGGAUUAGCUAGUUGGUAGGGUAAAAGCAUACCAAGGGGACGAUCCAUAGCUGGUCUGAGAGGAUGAUCAGCCACACUGGGACUGAGACACGGCCCAGACUCUUACGGGAGGCAGCAGUGGGGAACAUUGGACAAUGGGCGAAAGCCUGAUCCAGCAAUGCCGCGUGAGUGAUGAAGGCCUUAGGGUUGUAAAGCUCUUUUAACCGGGAUGAUAAUGACAGUACCGGGAGAAUAAGCUCCGGCUAACUCCGUG